AUGGAUUUUAUAAUGUGCACAAUAGUAGAUUUUAACGUUGUGCAGGAUAUAGAAAAGGGCCAAAGACUGAGCUGUGUGUACAUUGACUCCUUCAGUAGGAAUCAGUUGUAUUUUAAUGCCAGAUUAUCUUACUGGUAACUAAUUAAGUGGCAAAAACCCAAUGACACAUUUUUUUGUACCUACGUGUGUUAUCCAAAUGGUCCACACAGAAAGUCCACAUGGUAGUUUUCACUAGACACUUAAUUCUUUCUUCCACCUGUUCUUGUUUAUCACAGCUUUAAUAUCUGACUAACACCUGCUUUAUGUAAUAGGUCAAACACUGAGACCCUGGUUUAACUCUUGAGAAACCCGAGUGUCAAAUAGCUUCCUCGGAAAGUCCUCAUCGCUCCAGGACUGCUCCGUAAAUAGACUAGAACCAGUUCUCUGCCAGGACAAACUUUAAACGGUGACGUUUGGCGGUUUUGGCGUUGUGGCUUCAAACUUGUCGCGAGGCGUUCAGGUGUCAGGCCUUAUUUCAAGAGAAGCGUUACAUAAAGGUUCACUAGUUGGAACUGGAAGGAAACGCCCGGGCCUGUCGGAGAAGUUCCAGUUGAACUAUUUUUGGAUUGCAGUCAGGUUCCUCUCGGGCCCGUGCGGGAGCAUGAAUAUUAAUCCACGCUUUCAUCGUUUUGUCAUGGAAAGGCCGCCUCUGCGCCUGAAUGGCAGGAGAAGCCGUAAACCUGUUUCCCCGCCGCCCGCAUUACCAUAUGAGUCGAAAAAACGAGAGCGGGGCGGACGCAUUUAAAACAUGAAAGCGCCUGCGCCGAAGCGAAGCUCGGCCGCGCGCUUGAAUAAUUUGUCCUUUCAGGUUUGUUUGGAGAGCGGAUGAUUAGUAAUCAACAGGUAAAGAGGAGGAUGAGUUUUCCACGGAGGGACUCUCGCCGUGUGUUUACACUUAACGUCUAAACGCGCGUGUUUGGCUGCGAGACAAACACCUCUAAGCCGCCCGCGGCCGCAAUCCGCACGUGCGGCUCACAUCUAAUCAAGGCCCGCGUGUUUGCGCUGCAUUAAUGAGAGGCAGUGACGUCACAGCGGGCGGCUUUGGGCGGCGCGCGUUAAACCAGAUCACACGGCGACCUCCGACCUCUGCGCGUCUUCAGCGCACGCGGGGACGGAGACGGUGGAGCCGAGGCCGAGGAGGACGGAGCAGGACGGAGAGGAGGAAUCAGAUUAAACGAUGACGGUGACUAACGAACCGACCCAGAGGCGGACAUCCGAAGUUUGCCCGGGGAUGCUGUCAACGCUGAUGUGUUACCAUGACGACUACAGCUUCCCAUGACCACUGGAGCUCUCUUAUGAUCGCUCCACAGGUUCAUCUGACAGCCAGACGCCGUGACUCACCGCCGCCAUCGUAUAAAAUCACAUAACACGUUUUCUAAGCAGCGCGCUCCUCUCGUGUGUUCGGUUGCCAGGCAAUGCCACCGUGUCCUUGGAGGUCCCUGAGCACGUCCUCCUUUUGCUUCUAAUAUGUUUUCUAAUGUCUGCCCAGAGCCCGAAGCGCCUUCCGGAGCAAAUUGCCACCUCCAGCAAACACACAAGAAUAAAAAAAAUAAAAUUAAAAAAUAAA